CGAGAGUGGACAAGAGGAUAACGAGAUUGUUAAAGACAAAGGGGGCAAGAAAUCCUGAUUUAUCUUAAGUUCUUUAUUUGGAUUUCCCCCUUCUAUUUGUUCUGAAUCCUUCAAGUUUCAACCUUUCAACAUAUUGGGUAUCAUUUGCUUCCAUCGUUUCAAUUGUUUGGGCCUUAGAAGGAAAUACCUCAUUAGAACAUUGGUUGUUGGCUUUAUCAUCUGUUUUUGGAUGCAGAGUUGAUUUUUUUGUGGUCAUUUGAUUUUGUUUAUGUGGAGUUUAUGUUGUAGUUUUCCUCCUCAUUUAGGGAUAUUAAUGAUUUAUACAGGGUGCUAUUAUUGGUAUUAUUGACUGAAUAUCUGUUACUAAUUCUGUUUAAGAUCUUCCUUGCUUCAAUCUUUCAAUAUGACUUCUGAGUCUGAUUUAUGAAAUGUGUGAGAAGCUAAGCAGUAGUUCUUCUUUUUCAUUUUGACCAAAUUCUAUCUCCUUAGAUGCAGCUCUUCAUAAUUUAUGGGUACCCUGCACAAGAGCUAAGCAAAACACAUCUCUAAAAGUGAGAUCAAUUUCUUCCUGCUUUCAUUGGCAUUAUUGCAGCUUUGGUUGACAUUGCUUCUUGAAAAUGUUCACCGUGGCGCCUCAAUUUGAAGAGGCAACCCAUCAGCGUAUUUGCUUCGGCGCUCAUUUCGUCCAUUCAAAGGCGGUCAUUGUCACCUUCGUUGUUGGCCCACUUCAUUGGUUGUGUUUGGGAAUGUUGGUUUCGUGAUGGUUAUAGUGAGGGGUCAUUCAUUCACUUUUUCCUUUGAACCCCUUUUCAUCUAAUCAUUUCAUCAUUUCUUCCUUUACAGGAUGAUUAUAACCUUUCAAGAAUCUAUGAUCAUGCCAAAUAAAAAUGGACAUAAAUUUGUAUGUUAUGGCUGCACAUUACACGCCCUUAUCUUUUUCUUUGGCCACAAUCAAGUCUGAAUCAGUUGUUGGCUCCAUUCUUAGCAGUUGGGCCUUUCUUCACUUUUGUCGUAUUCUGUUCCGGUG